rnacentral:misc_RNA from 1 species
AAAGUCGUAACAAGGUUUCCUUCCCCUGCAGAAGCCUUUUGCAGCGACUAUAAAAAGAAAUUGCACAGUUUGCAUGCAAGCAAUGCCACUCAAAUGCUGGGACAAUUUGAACCAGCAGCCUGCAGGGCUCACAGAUCAGAUAGUGGUAACCAUUGUUAAUGGGUAAGAUAUGACCGGUCUUGACUAGAGUUAGUUGAGAAUCAAUGUUCCGUAGGUGAACCUGCGGAAGGAUCAUUAGUGGAUUCGUGGCCUCCCGAGGCUCACGCUCUCUAUCCUUCACACACACCUGUGCACCCUUCUGAAGCGGAGAGUUAUUAGGCGUCCGCCGAGCGCCUCCCUUCGGUCAUCACAUCAACUUCCAAACCAUGUUUACCAGAAUGUGUGCCGUCUUGUCGUAAUGACAAGCACGAUCCAAUAAAACUUUCAGCAACGGAUCUCUUGGCUCAG